rnacentral:lncRNA from 1 species
AUCCAAGUAACAGGCUAUAAAAUAAGAUUGGAGCUUAGAUUAUCCCUCCCAUCUAUCCCAGUCUUUUCCUCCAAAUAGGCUGUUAGACUGGAGGGAAAGGCGCAGAUCCAUAGGAAGGAACUUGGAUGUGGCCACUGUCCAUCAGCCUUCCUAGGAGAAGAGUAAGGUGAGGGCCCCUUAUGGAACUAAUGGAAGCCCGGGAAAGUUUGGAACUGAAUGUCAGGGGUUAGCGAUCAGCCAGUCAGAGAGGAGCAUAAGUUUUUUCCACCAGGUGCAGCUGAGCUAGAGUGGGGAGAUUCAAGGCCAGACAGACCUGGGAGGCCAGACAAACAGUCCAGAGUCGAGGAAGAUCGGCAGACAAUAUGAAACACACACAGCUAUCUGGGAGGACCAAGUCAUUGUGGGUGUGGCAAGGGAGUGGACAGGUUGCUCCAAGGCCUGGUGUACCUCUAUGUUAUAAAGAAACAGUGAGGGGCUGGGGAUUUAGCUCAGUGGUAGAGCGCUUACCUAGGAAGCACAAGGCCCUGGGUUCGGUCCCCAGCUCCGAAAAAAAGAACCAAAAAAAAAAAAAAAAAA